CUAGCUCUGCAGCCAUUGGACCCGAUGGCAUGACAAAGAGAGGUCCCUGGUCUGCUGAGUACUGGGACUGGCACAGAGAGGCUCUGUGACCGACGUGGAUCAUCCCAACCGGAGUACUCGGUGGCAGCGGAGAACUGCGGUGCUCCUGGGCGGUGCAAGAACUGCAGGGAUAUCUGUGGCUCUUCAAGAAGUCAGCAAGAAAUGGGAAGCUGCAUUUCCUGGAAUGCCCUGGAACCCGACUUUGCUGACUGGUAACUGGCUGCCCAUAUAGCUCUGUGGCUGUGGGACUUGACAGCUGGAAGAAGGUAGGCCUUCGGACCGCUGCAGGUUGGGCAUGGAGCGGCUCUGUGAUGGGUGCAGUGGAGCACGUGGAUCGUGCCGGCAGGUGCACUUGGUGAGUUUUUCUAGUGCUGCUGAGCAUGCAGACUUCCCCACAUGCCCCAGUUGUGCCCGGAUCUCCAAACUCCUUUGCAUCAUUGUGUCUCACAGCGCCAGGCAUCUCUCUGCGGUGCUGCCGGUGGCAGCGGAGAACUGUGGUGUAAGAACUACAGGGAGAUCAGUGGCUCUUCAUGAAGUCAUCAAGAAACGGGAAGCUGCAUUUCCUGGAAUGGCCCAGAACCCAUCUUGUCUGUCCGGUGGCAGCGGAGAACUGCGGUGCUCCUGGGCAGUGCAAGAACUGCAGGGAGAUCCGUGGCUGCUCUUGAAGUCAGCAAGAAACAGAAAGCUGCAUUUCCUGGAAUGCCCUGGAACUCAGCUUUCCUGACUGCGUACUGUUUGCUGUAAUGGGGAAGGGCAACGUACCCCCACCAGCGUUUCUCCAUUAUGUAGUGUGACUGAAUAUAGUGCUGCUAGAGCUCAGUACUACACUUUAGGGAACCCUGAAGGCUGCCUCUGCUUUUCUUCCUUCUCCUUGCCUCUGUCCUUUCCCUGUGGUGUUCUCCUUGUCCUUACCUUAGCCUUUGUUUUCUCGUGCUGAUUUCUUUACCUUGCAUUUCAGUUCCCGGCAGUGUUCUCCUGGGCUUUGGCCUUGGCCUGGGCCUGGGCCUGCGGUGUGGUGUUCUCCUUGGCCUAGGCACUUGGCCUGGGCUUGGGCUUUUGCUGAGGCAUUCUCCUUGGCAUUUGGCCUGGGCCUGGGCCUUU
rnacentral:lncRNA from 1 species